AAUCAACGCUGGCGGCGUGCCUCAGACAUGCAAGUCGAACGAGAAAGUUCCCUUCGGGGAAUGAGUAAAGUGGCGCACGGGUGAGUAACACGUAGGUAAUCUACCUUCGGGUGGGGAAUAACCCAGGGAAACUUGGGCUAACACCGCAUAAUGCAGCGGCACCACAUGGUGACAGUUGUUAAAGCGGGGGAUUUUAGGACCUCGCGCCUGAAGAGGAGCCUGCGGCGGAUUAGCUGUUGGUAAGGUAACGGCUUACCAAGGCGACGAUCCGUAGCCGGCCUGAGAGGGCGGUCGGCCACACUGACACUGACAUACGGGUCAGACUCCUACGGGAGGCAGCAGUCGGGAAUUUUGGGCAAUGGGCGAAAGCCUGGCCCAGCAACGCCG
rnacentral:rRNA from 1 species